UAGACGUAUAGUAACUGGAGCUUGAUGCAACCCCUUUUUUUGUAAAUGAUCAGAUCAGAUAAUUAACUGGAUUGAUGGAAAUUGAGGAUAGCAAAUGGGUAAAGGCCCAGUAUUUUAGUUCAGAAGGGAAAUAAAAAAGCCCAGUGUCUCAACGCACUAUCAAGUAUUAUCAUCCCGACAGGCCACAGAGAGUAAUUGAAGAAGAUAGAAAAUCGGUUCGACGACGUUCUUCCACAUUCGAACAGAUUCCAAAGGCCAAAGUUACUUUCCAUAGCCACUGUCAUUUGCCCAUUAUCGUCACUCCACUGUCCUACUCGACCUUCACUUGCUACGACUCUCCACCGGGAUGGCAGAGCUACAGCCGCCGGAAGGACCGAUUAACGGUGGAACAGUCGGAGCUUCAUCUGAGAAUCUCGUCCCAUGCUUGGGUUCGAAGCGACAACGUCGACCAAGCGUCAGAUUAGGCGACAUAGGAGAUCAACCAGCCACGCUCUCUUACGAUUCACAUGUCAGGCGAAGCAAGCAAUGGAAACUCCCCAUCGACAACGACUCCAAGUAUCGACAUCCAUCUCAAAAGGACACAGGCGCAGCUGGUAAAGCUUCAAAGACCCGACCUUUAAUGAAUUUGGGGAACGGCGGCGAUUGUCAUGAAACCCUAGAAACCGAGGAUAAGAACCUAUCCGGCGAUGCCAAUUUGGACACGAUAGCAGUAGGUAACCGAAAGGGCAAGGAUUCCAAGACGAAGAGAGGAGGGGGAGGUGGUGGAGGAGGAGGAGGAGGAGGGACAAAAAGGGUGAGAUCGAAUUGGGUUUCCAAAGUAGAUGAAGGGGCGGAAGGAGAUGAGAAGUUUAGUGGUGGAGAAGACGUGGAUGAAGGGUACAGGGAUUUCGAUCCCGAGGGUUCAGAAAGCCCUUUGAGGGAACAGAGUCCCAUUCAUUCUCUUGAAAACACCGCUGUUGAUUUGCGCCAGACCUCGGACAGGGGACAUGGAAAUGAGAGAGAGGGACUUUUUCCCGUGCAAAGAAGACCACUUAGGGCUAGGGUUUCGGACAGUAGAGAUCAUGAUGCAGUCGAAUUGGAUGGGCCUUCGGACACUGAUGCCAGGGAUUGGAAAUGCGGAACGAGUGCAGAUAGGAAUGGCAUUAGUGAGAGGGGGAGGUGCCGGUCUCUUGAAGAUGGGGUGCGGAUGUGGCUUAAUGGCUUAGGACUAGGUCGUUAUGCACCGGUUUUCGAGAUACAUGAGGUGGAUGACGAAGUGUUGCCGCUGCUGACUUUGGAAGAUCUCAAGGACAUGGGGAUAAAUGCCGUCGGUUCAAGGCGGAAAAUGUAUUGUGCAAUCCAAAAGCUUGCCAAGGGCUUCUCGUGAGUUCGUGAGUUUCAGUAUUGGAGUAUGGCGGAUGUAAGUGCAAACCUUCAGUCAUCGCAUAAGUGAAAAUAUAUGCCAUGUCCGAUAUGGGGAAUUUGUUUCGUAUUUCUCAAGGUAUAAUUCAGUUGGAGCUGUUGGCUAUGGUUAAUGCCUUGUCUUUUUCAAAGGAGCAGGAAUGGGAAAGGCUUGAGAUUCAAUCAGACUCCCUGUUACCUAUUAAAGCAAUUGCUGGAGAAACUGGUUGCAUUCCAUGGGGAUGUUUAGAUWUUGUUGAUGGUAUCAAGUUUUUUUAGCACAAUUUUUGGAUAUAGUUAGUUUUGUGCAUAUAUCCAGAUUGUCUAACUAAGUAGUUCAUUUUGUUGCUCAGAAGGCAAAAUCUUUUACUGUUAAACAGUUGUGGCAAGGUAAUCAAUCCUUCACCCUGGUUAAUGGACAAAUUAUGUAAUAUUUCUUUGACUGGUAACCUAGUUAAUAUGAAGUUCUAUCUAUCUAUAAAAAAUA